rnacentral:rRNA from 1 species
AUUGAACGCUGGCGGCAUGCCUUACACAUGCAAGUCGAACGAGUGGCGGACGGGAGAGUAAUGACUGGGAACCUGACUGAUGGAGGGGGAUGACUACUGGAAACUGUAGCUAAUACCGCCUAGCAUGGGCUGUGCCCAGAUGGGAUUAGCUUGUUGGGGGGGUAACGGCGCACCAAGGCGACGAUCCGUAGCUGGUCUGAGAGGAGGACCAGCCACACUGGGACUGAGACACGGUCCAGACUCCUACGGGAGGCAGCAGUGGGGAAUAUUGGACAAUGGGGGCAAGCCUGAUGCAGCCAUGCCGCGUGUGUGAAGAAGGCCUUCGGGUUGUAAAGUACUUUCGGCAGGGAGGCGGUACCUGCAGAAGAAGCACCGGCUAACUCCGUGCCAGCAGCCGCGGUAAUUC